AAAUGGAGCACUCGAAUGAGAUUUUAGCAGAGUUUAGAGAUAGUGUUUAGAGCUUAAAGGAGAAUGUAUCUGGGGGGUCUCUUUUAUAGAUGGGAGAGCAUAAUCGAUUGACAGCGACGUCCAUAACUGCCUGGUAGUGGGCCAUUCGGGGCCAUGUGGAGUUUGUUACAGAGAGUGGAGUGGUGUCUGUUAUCACGACUUGCCA
rnacentral:lncRNA from 1 species